UCGCUAGUAAUCGCAAAUCAGAAUGUUGCGGUGAAUACGUUCCCGGGUCUUGUACACACCGCCCGUCACACCAUGGGAGUCGGAAAUGCCCGAAGUCUGUGACCCAACGAAAGAGGGAGCAGCCGAAGGCAGGUCUGAUAACUGGGGUGAAGUCGUAACAAGGUAAC
rnacentral:rRNA from 1 species